rnacentral:rRNA from 1 species
UUGGUGACCAGCGGAGGGAUCAUUACCGAGUUUACAACUCCCAAACCCAAUGUGAACGUUACCAAACUGUUGCCUCGGCGGGAUCUCUGCCCCGGGUGCGUCGCAGCCCCGGACCAAGGCGCCCGCCGGAGGACCAACCAAAACUCUUUUUGUAUACCCCCUCGCGGGUUUUUUUUUAUAAUCUGAGCCUUCUCGGCGCCUCUCGUAGGCGUUUCGAAAAUGAAUCAAAACUUUCAACAACGGAUCUCUUGGUUCUGGCAUCGAUGAAGAACGCAGCGAAAUGCGAUAAGUAAUGUGAAUUGCAGAAUUCAGUGAAUCAUCGAAUCUUUGAACGCACAUUGCGCCCGCCAGUAUUCUGGCGGGCAUGCCUGUCCGAGCGUCAUUUCAACCCUCGAACCCCUCCGGGGGGUCGGCGUUGGGGAUCGGCCCUCCCUUAGCGGGUGGCCGUCUCCGAAAUACAGUGGCGGUCUCGCCGCAGCCUCUCCUGCGCAGUAGUUUUGCACACUCGCAUCGGGAGCGCGGCGCGUCCACAGCCGUUAAACACCCAACUUCUGAAAUGUUGACCUCGGAUCAGGUAGGAAUACCCGCUGAACUUAAGCAUAUCAAU